GAUGAACGCUGGCGGCGUGCCUAACACAUGCAAGUCGAGCGGCAGCGAGGGGUGCUUGCACCCUGUCGGCGAGCGGCGGACGGCUGAGUAACGCGUGGGAACGUGCCCCAAAGUGAGGAAUAACUGCCCGAAAGGGUAGCUAAUACCGCAUAUUAUCUUCGGAUCAAAGGAUUUAUCCGCUUUGGGAGCGGCUCGCGUCGGAUUAGGUAGUUGGUGAGGUAAUGGCUCACCAAGCCGACGAUCCGUAGCUGGUCUGAGAGGAUGACCAGCCAGACUGGAACUGAGACACGGUCCAGACUCCUACGGGAGGCAGCAGUGAGGAAUCUUCCACAAUGGGCGAAAGCCUGAUGGAGCAACACCGCGUGCAGGACGAAGGCCUUCGGGUUGUAAACUGCUUUUAUAAGUGAGGAAUAUGACGGUAACUUAUGAAUAAGGAUCGGCUAACUACGUG
rnacentral:rRNA from 1 species